rnacentral:rRNA from 1 species
UACAGAGGGUGCGAGCGUUGUUCGGAAUUACUGGGCGUAAAGCGCAUGUAGGCGGCAGCGCAAGUCGGGCGUGAAAUCCCACGGCUCAACCGUGGAAGUGCACUCGAAACUGCGCAGCUAGAGUCCUGGAGAGGAAGGUGGAAUGCUUGGUGUAGAGGUGAAAUUCGUAGAUAUCAAGCGGAACACCGGUGGCGAAGGCGGCCUUCUGGACAGUGACUGACGCUGAGAUGCGAAAGCGUGGGGAGCAAACAGG